rnacentral:rRNA from 1 species
GAUGAACGCUGGCGGCGUGCCUAAUACAUGCAAGUCGAGCGAACGGACGAGAAGCUUGCUUCUCUGAUGUUAGCGGCGGACGGGUGAGUAACACGUGGAUAACCUACCUAUAAGACUAGGAUAACUUCGGGAAACCGUAGCUAAUACCGGAUAAUAUUUUGAACCGCAUGGUUCAAAAGUGAAAGACGGUCUUGCUGUCACUUAUAGAUGGAUCCGCGCUGCAUUAGCUAGUUGGUAAGGUAACGGCUUACCAAGGCAACGAUGCAUAGCCGACCUGAGAGGGUGAUCGGCCACACUGGAACUGAGACACGGUCCAGACUCCUACGGGAGGCAGCAGUAGGGAAUCUUCCGCAAAGGGCGAAAGCCUGACGGAGCAACGCCGCGUGAGUGAUGAGGGUCUCCGGAUCGUAAAACUCUGUUAUUAGGGAAGAACAUAUGUGUAAGUAACUGUGCACAUCUUGACGGUACCUAAUCAGAAAGCCACGGCUAACUACGUG